rnacentral:rRNA from 1 species
AUACGUAGGGGGCGAGCGUUGUCCGGAAUGAUUGGGCGUAAAGGGCGCGUAGGCGGCUUUGCAAGUCAGUAGUGGAAGUCCAUUUUUCAAGGAUGGAAGUGCUACAGAAACUGCGGAGCUUGAGUGCAGGAGAGGUUAUCGGAAUUCCCGGUGUAGCGGUGAAAUGCGAAGAGAUCGGGAGGAACACCAGUGGCGAAGGCGGGUAACUGGACUGCAACUGACGCUGAGGCGCGAAAGUGUGGGGAGCAAACAGGAUUAGAUACCCUGGUAGUCCACACUGUAAACGAUGAAUGCUAGGUGUAGGAGGUAUCGACCCCUUCUGUGCCGCAGUAAACACAGUAAGCAUUCCGCCUGGGGAGUACGGUCGCAAGAUUAAAACUCAAAGGAAUUGACGGGG